UACGUAGGGUGCGAGCGUUGUCCGGAAUUAUUGGGCGUAAAGAGCUCGUAGGCGGUGUGUCACGUCGGCCGUGAAAACCUGCAGCUUAACUGUGGGCGUGCGGUCGAUACGGGCAUCACUGGAGUUCGGCAGGGGAGACUGGAAUUCCUGGUGUAGCGGUGAAAUGCGUAGAUAUCGGGAGGAACACCAGUGGCGAAGGCGGCAUCCUGGCCCUGUCCUGACGCUCAGGGGCGAAAGCGUGGGGAGCAAACCGG
rnacentral:rRNA from 1 species